ACGCCAAAAACGAGAACCCUCUCCCCAUUUUCCAUCUCUGGCCAUUCCCUCUCCUUCUUGACCCAGUAGCUUCUUCUCCCUCUUCAUUCCCUUGAACACAGAUUUGAUUUGAGAAUUUAGACACUCAAUCGAACACAUCUGAACGGCUAAGAGAAAGAGCUUGGGAUUUGGAGAAAGAGUUUUGGAGGUCAAAAAUCUGGAAAAAAAAACUCCAAAACUAAAGAAAAGCUCAAAAAAUAAAUAAUAAAAAGCUGUUUUCGACUUCAAAUCAGUUGCGGUGUAUUUUCGGGGUUCUGAAAGCUUUUCGAAUCGAGGAAAUCACUGUUCGCUGCUGGUAAAUCCGCUGCUGUUUUGCUGGAAUUUCUUGCUGAGUUCGUCGUCACUGUUUUCGCUAGCCUGUAUUAGGCUCAACUUCACUAUGUUCUUCGCCUAGCCGGAAGUUGUGAGUUAAAAUUUUAAUUCUAGAGAAGAAUCUACCUUCAUUGGUUUUUGGCACUUGUUUGACAUUUUUUAUUAGUUCUUUAUUAUGUCUUUUAGUCGCUGCUUUAAUAGUUUAAUCCAAAUUAUGAACAUCCGUAGUUUGUUUCGGUUGAGUAAAGCCCCUUUGGAAUAAUUUGAGGUGUGCCGUGCCAGAUAAAAA